AAUCAUUUGAUGCACAUAUUUGAAUAUUCUCAUAUAUUAUUAUUUAUUAUAAUUGUAUUAUUUAUUAGCAAUAUUCUCUUUAUAUUUGUAUGUAAAGUGAAUCCAGUUAUAAGUUCUGAAAACCUUCCUUUGUUAUUUAACAAUAAAAUUGUUGAAUCUAACAAAAAUAUACAUUGGUUAGGUCAAAUAUUUUAGAUUUACUGAUUAUUAGUAAUUGGAUUUAUGAGUUUUCUUUAAAUACUAAUACUAAAUGGAAUGUCCGUUCUUCUGUUCCAAGUGGAACUUACAUUCAGUGCAAGUUAGUAAAUAUAUUGUUUUUUUGAAUUAUGUUUAAUACAAUAAUUAAUUAACACUAAUAUAAUAUUUUAUAACUGUUUCAUAGAAAAUUAUUUAUAUGUCACCAUAGCUCUUACCAUAAAGUUGACAAAGAACACAAUAAAAGAGGACAAUCUAAAAACACUAAGUGUAAAGCCAAAAUAAAAGUUGUGGUAAAACUAGAUUCUGUUUAACUAGAAAAACUGAUCUCUACAUUAAAGAAAAAUUAUUAGGUGUUUUUAUAAUUUUUAAUGAACACAAUUACAACAUAAAUAUAGCAGAAGCUUUAAAAUGCUUAAAUGCUUUUCUCAGAGAAAAUUUUGAAGUAUAUUUUAAUGAUGAAAUGACUAUAACUGAAGCUAUUCUGUUUUGAAAAUGGAAUAUCAAUAUAUUUUCAAGAAAACCCUUUUGCUGUACUAAUACUGACUCCUAUUAUGUUAAGAGCUCAUGAUUUGCCUCUAGUCAUGGACAUAGUUUUUGUUGAUUCUACAAGCUCAUGUGAUCCAGAAAAUCAUUGUAUAACUUUUUUACUCACUCCUUAUGUUUCUGGUGCAACUCCUUUAGAUGUACUUAUAACAAAAGAAUAAAGUGAAGAGUCAUAUUCAGCUGGUUUUCAAUAAAUUAAAAAAAAAUUUAGACAAUGCUUUUGGUGGUGGAAAAGGUCAAACUAUAUUUCUAACUGAUAACUCUGAUUCAGAUAUAAAUGCCUUAAAUAAAACUUUGCCUCAUUCAAAAUCACUUCUUUGUAUAUUUCUUGUUUUACAAGCAGUUUGGAGAUGGUUGUGGGAUGGUAAAAAUGAAAUAAUAAAAGAGCAUAGACAACUUUUCAUGCAUGCUUUUAGAAAUAUUUUAUAUGCUUAAACUAUUGAAGAAGCUCAUGCUGCUUACCAAAUCACUCUUGAAGAAAGGAAAAUGUAUUGUAAGUGGCAAAAUUAUAUUAAUACAUUUCGCUGGAAUCAUAAAGAGUGUUGGUGUUUAUCAUGGAGAGAUCACAUAAAUAGAGGCCACUGUAUUAAUAACUUUAGUGAAGUUCAGUGAGAAUUUUUAAGGAAAAUAUAUUAAGUAAAGUUAAAGAUUACAAUGUUAUUUCAAUUAUUGAUUUUUGUUGUACCAAUUUGGAACAUUAUUAAAAAAAAAUUUCUCGACUUUUCAAAUAAUAAAAAUGCAACUGUUCGUAAUUUUGUUGAAAAAAUUAUAAAAUUAACUGAUUAUGUGUCCCAAGAAGAUAUUAAAUUGGAUAAUGAAGAAUACUAUGUACCAAGUCAAAAAAAUAAAUAGUUGAUGUAUUAUGUUAUGCCAUCUAUAGGUACUUGUUCAUGUACAGCUGGAAUGUAUGAAUAGUUUUGUAAACAUUAAGGUAUUGUGUACACGUUUUUUAAUAAAGUUGGAGUUAAUUUCCCUCCUGUUACAAUAGAGGAUAAACAUUCAAUUGCACAAUUAGCACUAAGCACCAAAUAAAUCAUUUUAUGAAGGUCUUUAACCAUUAGAGGUUAUUCAUAAAAAUGCAUUGACAGUUGAAGAAGUUAAAUUUAAACCAGUAAAUGUAAUAGAAAAUAUAGAAAACAAUAUUAAUGAAAAUAGCAUCUUUGGCAAUAUGGUUGAAGAAAAAAGUACUAUUUAAGAAGAGACUUGUUUGUCAAUAAUAGAAGAAAUCAAUCAAAUUUUGUUGAAUAUUAAUACUAAGUAUGGAGGAUCAAUCUAUAAAAAUGUACUAAAAUUUAAAAAUAGAUUAAAAAAAAUAAAAUCAGAAGGGCAGUUCAACACAUUUUUAGCCACUGCUGGAGGAACCUCUUUAUCUUUAAGACUAAGAGAUGGUACAACAAUAAGAGUUCAGCCAACCACUAUUUCUAGGAGGAAACCAGGCAUAACAAAAGGAAGCAAACGUCUAUUGGCAGGUAGACCAGCAAUUUCAGAAAACAAUUGCCCUAAGAAGAAACCAAGAAAUAUACUUCAAAACAUAACUAACUGUACGCCUAAUGCAAAAUCGCACUAAUUUAUUUCUGUUACUACAUUUUUUAAAUAAUAUAUUUAUAAAUAAUUUAUAAUAUUAAUGUUUUCUAGAUAUUAGGGAUAUCAACUCAAAGAGUUGACUCUUUUAGGUGUACUGAAUGAGCUGAAUCAGUAUGCCAUAGUACUGUGACUCGGUGUGGAUUACUAAGAAUUGAAUUUAGUUUAGAACGUCUUAUCAAUAAAUUUUGAAUCAUGUGAAUUGUGAUAUAUAGAUUUAACUUACAGAAGUAGAAGUUGAUGGAGCAAUAUUUAGGUCAUCAAUCGUGUCUUCUAUUACAUGAGUCUUUCUAUUUAUUAAAUUUACUAAUGGAUGCUUAAAUAUAAUAUGUCUAAUUAAAUUUGAAGUCGAAGAAUGAUUAUUUUUUAAUUUUAUACGACAAAGUCCACACUUUACAUGAAUAUUAUCUGCUUCAAGUUGAAAAAAUCUCAAAUAACACUUGAUUUACUUAUUUUAAAAUGAAAUAAAAUACCUUUGUAAAUUAAAUAGUGUUUCACAAUUUUUGAUUUUAUGCACAAGAUUUAUUGUGAUUACAGGAAACAGUGUUUACACAAUGAGUAAAAUUUUAAAUAAAUGAGACUAGGUUAUACAUAAUAUGUCAGUUAUUAGAACAAUAUUCAUUCAAGAAUAGACCUGUAAUUGCAUACAAGAAAAUUUUGAAAAAUAUGAGAGAAGAGACCAAUUUUUCCCACUGCAUGCACUAAACAUUAAACAUUGAUAAUACCUACAUUUUAUUUGUAUACCUAAUUUAACACAUAAAUAAAUCUGAUGUUAAUAAUAAAAAAAUA